GAUGAACGCUAGCGGCAGGCUUAACACAUGCAAGUCGAGGGGCAGCACGUCUUCGGAUGGUGGCGACCGGCGCACGGGUGCGUAACGCGUAUAGAACCUACCUUUUACAGGGGAAUAGCCCAGAGAAAUUUGGAUUAAUGCCCCAUAGUAUUAUUAGAUGGCAUCAUUUGAUAAUUAAACAUUUAUGGGUAAAAGAUGGCUAUGCGUUCUAUUAGCUAGAUGGUAAGGUAACGGCUUACCAUGGCGACGAUAGAUAGGGGUCCUGAGAGGGAGAUCCCCCACACUGGUACUGAGACACGGACCAGACUCCUACGGGAGGCAGCAGUGAGGAAUAUUGGACAAUGGGCGAGAGCCAGAUCCAGCCAUGCCGCGUGCAGGAAGACGGUCCUAUGGAUUGUAAACUGCUUUUAUACAGGAAGAAACACUCCCUCGUGAGGGAAUUUGACGGUACUGUAUGAAUAAGCACCGGCUAACUCCGUGCCAGCAGCCG
rnacentral:rRNA from 1 species